UACGAAGGGGGCUAGCGUUGUUCGGAAUUACUGGGCGUAAAGCGCACGUAGGCGGACUAUUAAGUCAGGGGUGAAAUCCCGGGGCUCAACCCCGGAACUGCCUUUGAUACUGGUAGUCUCGAGUCCGGAAGAGGUGAGUGGAAUUCCGAGUGUAGAGGUGAAAUUCGUAGAUAUUCGGAGGAACACCAGUGGCGAAGGCGGCUCUCUAGUACGGUACUGACGCUGAGACGCGAAAGCGUGGGGAGCGAACAGG
rnacentral:rRNA from 1 species